rnacentral:rRNA from 1 species
UACGUAGGGUGCGAGCGUAAUCGGAAUUACUGGGCGUAAAGCGUGCGCAGGCGGCUUUGCAAGACAGAUGUGAAAUCCCCGGGCUCAACCUGGGAACUGCAUUUGUGACUGCAAGGCUAGAGUACGGCAGAGGGGGAUGGAAUUCCGCGUGUAGCAGUGAAAUGCGUAGAUAUGCGGAGGAACACCAAUGGCGAAGGCAAUCCCCUGGGCCUGUACUGACGCUCAUGCACGAAAGCGUGGGGAGCAAACAGG